rnacentral:lncRNA from 1 species
UGCUGUCUGGAGAGAUAGAUGAAAUUUAAAGAUGGCAAUCCAUUCCCUUUCCAUCAUGCUUCGUUUUCUACAGCUGAAUACAUUGGAAGACUAGGAAAUCGCAUCAUCAGUGUAGAUAUGAGUAAAAAGAUCAAGAAGGCCUUGGGAGACAGCUCACCAAAAUGUUCAGAAUAUUUAUGUUUAUCAUUUUAUUAUUUCU